CCUACGGGUGGCAGCAGUGGGGAAUAUUGCACAAUGGUGGGAACCCUGAUGCAGCGACGCCGCGUGAGUGAAGAAGUAUUUCGGUAUGUAAAGCUCUAUCAGCAGGGAAGACAAUGACGGUACCUGACUAAGACGCCCCGGCUAACUACGUGCCAGCAGCCGCGGUAAUACGUAGGGGGCAAGCGUUUUCCAGAUUUACUGGGUGUAAAGGGAGCGUAGACGGUUAGGCAAGUCUGAAGUGAAAGCCCAAGGAUCAACCAUGGGACUGCUUUGGAAACUGGAAAACUGGAGUGCAGGAGAGGGAAGAGGAAUUCCUAGUGGAGCGGUGAAAUGAGUAGAUAUUAGGAGGAACACCAGUGGCGAAGGCGGCUUACUGGACUGUAACUGACGUUGAGGCUCGAAGGCGUGGGGAGCAAACAGGAUUAGAUACCCGAGUAGUC
rnacentral:rRNA from 1 species